rnacentral:rRNA from 1 species
UACGUAGGGGGCAAGCGUUGUCCGGAAUCAUUGGGCGUAAAGAGCGUGUAGGCGGCUUGGUAAGUCCGCUGUGAAAGUCCAGGGCUCAACCCUGGAAAGCCGGUGGAAACUGUCAAGCUCGAGUCCGGAAGAGGCGAGUGGAAUUCCUGGUGUAGCGGUGAAAUGCGCAGAUAUCAGGAGGAACACCGGUGGCGAAGGCGGCCCUCUGGACGGUGACUGACGCUGAGACGCGAAGGUCAGGGGAGCAAACGGG